UACGUAGGGUGCAAGCGUUGUCCGGAAUUAUUGGGCGUAAAGAGCUCGUAGGCGGUUCGUCGCGUCGGCUGUGAAAUCCCGGAGCUCAACUCCGGGUCUGCAGUCGAUACGGGCGGACUCGAGUUCGGCAGGGGAGACUGGAAUUCCUGGUGUAGCGGUGAAAUGCGCAGAUAUCAGGAGGAACACCGGUGGCGAAGGCGGGUCUCUGGGCCGAUACUGACGCUGAGGCACGAAAGCGUGGGGAGCAAACAGG
rnacentral:rRNA from 1 species